CCUCCCAAACAUAGGGAACCUCCAGUGGAAAACUGCAAGCAUAGAAAGAGAAACUCAUUGCUAAACCCCAAAAAGAAGAUGAAAGAAGCGAAACAAAAUCUCAGGCACAUUUGGGCUGGGUGCCCAGGGUAUUAAAGUAAGACCAGUCAGGAUCUGUGGAAACAUCUGAUUAUUACAUGAAAGGAUCAUGGUGAUCUGGAGACAGAACAGAGAAUAUGAAUGAAGCAUAUUCUGGAGACAGAGGCUGGCAAGAGGACAUGGAUCAGCUCAUGGAAGAGGAGAACCAAUGCAAGGACAUUUUGAGAGUCAGUGGUAAGAAACCCGCAAUAUACAAGGAUAAGAACCCAUCCAACUUGGACUGAUUCUGAAAACUGUAUUUGUUCAUCAGGAAGAUUUCCAGCUGGAUUCAGGCAUGUCAUUCAUGCAUGUAAAUAAUCACAUAUUCCUGAUAUAUGUAAUUUAUUACUCUAGUUCUACAGGUGAGUACAAAAAAUUAAAAGAACCUGCAGACACUUGAUAAAAAUGAAAAAUAAUGACUUCAGAAUAUGGUAAAUGCAUAAAUCUGUUACUGAGUCAGUAUAGGUCAUUUUCUGAAAUGCAUGUAAAGUGAUUUAUGAAUGAUCUAUAAAAUCAUUUUAACAUCACUUCUUUUUAAACUUCUAUUUGAAUUUUUUUUUUCCAAGUCCAUAGGAAUUUUUUUAAAAAGCUCUAAUAAAAUAUUCAUGGUAUUAGCUAAACAAAGGAUAACCAUGGUUAGAAUCUGGAUCUGGAAAUGCAGUUAGUGAUUACUGCUUUCAAGUAAUGUUAAGAUAUUUGAAUUAUUUGUUACUGCACGUGAGAAGUAUUUUUUCUUAGUAAACCAUCAGUGGAAAACACUGAAAAUGACAAGAUCUGAAAGCAGAUUUCUAAGGAUUAAGAAUUUGAAUUCAAAUUAUUGCUCUCUAAGUGCACAGAACACACAUGUGACAGCUCUCCGUAUGGUCUUGUCAUCCACAGUGCAGAAUAAAGGAUCACAUACUUAUUUAAAUCAUUUUGGGGUUUUAUUUAAAUUAGUUGCUAGUGUACCGCUUAUCUUACUGGUUCUUAAAUAUGAGUAAACACUUGUAUUCAGAAAUCCUCUUUCAGUUUUCUGAGACAUUUUCAAGGAUUUUUCACUUUGACAGUGCACAAAGUUUUGUAAUGAAUGAAACUGGCUUUUCAAACAUUUUCAACAUGAGCACUUAGACCAGCUAAAUAAAAAAUGGUCCUGUAAAUGAUAAAGUGUUAUUGAGGCUACAGUGACAAUGGAAUGAGCAAUAAAGUGGGUAUCUAACUGUCUCUAAAAGUCCUUCACAAAAUCCAGUGCAUGAUUUUUUGGAGAAGUGCACUCUGGAAUGAAUGUUUUUUAUACUGUUAAUCUCUGAAAUAGCCUUGUCCACCUCUAGUGCUGUUGCACAAACUGUCAUGCUCAGCUGUGCAUACCCUUUGCUUCAAAGAGAUAGGAAGAAUGAUGUCUGGAUUUGUAGUUCUUGUUUCCAGGUUAAUCAGUCAAAGUGAACGUAUUGGAUUCCUGACAAAAUUUGCAAUUGCACACAGUGUUCAUACUGGACUCUGUUUAGUCAUUACAAUGAUAUGUAUCCAUUGAGUUUGAGCUCUGUCGGACCAUAAAAGGAUCACCACUUUUUUAACUUCUGAAGUCUUUUUCAGUUUGUGUCAAGUGUUCUAUUAUGAAAAAACUAGUUCCAUCCAUACUUUAGUGUGAAGGAGCAAGAUUCAGGAUGGGAACAGUUCCAGGCAUGGAGGAAGAUAUACAGCAAUUGACAGGACUUUAUUAUAAGGACUUUACAGUUUCUAUGUGCUUAUAAAUAUACACAUUGUAUGUUGCUUCUAUAAUUAUAUUUCCUGGGCGUGCCCAGGCAUGCCUGCUUCCCUGCUCCCUUUCCUUCCCCACUCCCCUCUCUGGCCAGAGAAGCUGUAGAGACGAGACAGUCUCCAUUUGCCCUUUCCUUCUCUGGCUCCUCCCACAUUCCUUCCCCUUUUGCCUAUGUCCCUAUCCCGAUUUGUUCCCCCGUUUGUCUGUCUCAUGCUCCACCCCAUGUUCUGGUCCUUUCCCCACCUGAACUGAUAAAAAAUCCUGUGCACGCCUCAAUAAAGCAUUCCAUUUGCA